CCUACGGGUGGCUGCAGUGGGGAAUAUUGGACAAUGGGGGCAACCCUGAUCCAGCCAUGCCGCGUGUGUGAAGAACGCCCUCGGGUUGUAAAGCACUUUCAGUGAGGAAGAACGCCUGGUGGUUAAUACCCAUCAGGAAAGACAUCACUCACAGAAGAAGCACCGGCUAACUCCGUGCCAGCAGCCGCGGUAAUACGGAGGGUGCGAGCGUUAAUCGGAAUUACUGGGCGUAAAGCGCGCGUAGGUGGCUUGAUAAGCCGGUUGUGAAAGCCCCGGGCUCAACCUGGGAACGGCAUCCGGAACUGUCAAGCUAGAGUGCAGGAGAGGAAGGUAGAAUUCCCGGUGUAGCGGUGAAAUGCGUAGAGAUCGGGAGGAAUACCAGUGGCGAAGGCGGCCUUCUGGACUGACACUGACACUGAGGUGCGAAAGCGUGGGUAGCAAACAGGAUUAGAUACCCCGGUAGUC
rnacentral:rRNA from 1 species